rnacentral:rRNA from 1 species
ACACUCCUGCGGGAGGCAGCAGUGGGGAAUAUUGGACAAUGGGCGCAAGCCUGAUCCAGCCAUGCCGCGUGAGUGAUGAAGGCCCUAGGGUUGUAAAGCUCUUUCACCGGUGAAGAUAAUGACGGUAACCGGAGAAGAAGCCCCGGCUAACUUCGUGCCAGCAGCCGCGGUAACACGAAGGGGGCUAGCGUUGUUCGGAUUUACUGGGCGUAAAGCGCACGUAGGCGGACUAUUAAGUCAGGGGUGAAAUCCCGGGGCUCAACCCCGGAACUGCCUUUGAUACUGGUAGUCUUGAGUUCGAGAGAGGUGAGUGGAAUUCCGAGUGUAGAGGUGAAAUUCGUAGAUAUUCGGAGGAACACCAGUGGCGAAGGCGACUCACUGGCUCGAUACUGACGCUGAGGUGCGAAAGCGUGGGGAGCAAACAGGAUUAGAUACCCCAGUAGUCCCAUGA